GGGCUCCUCCUGUGGUUUCUCUCCAUGGGGGCUGUAGGAGGCAAGGCUGCUCCCACCCUCCCUUCGCAUGUCCAUACAUCUGUCAAAACACCUGACCCUCCACAUCACACCCAGGUUUCUGAAGCUCUUCUGCAUCAACUACAAUAAAUCCAGAACGGGUAGAAAGUGUGGAUUUUACUAAGAUUUUUUUUCCUAAUCCAAAGUCAGCUUAACUCACAGCGACAAUAUGAACAGUGCUGCUAUCACUGCCAGUGCCAAAUUCUUCUGCAGGUCUCCGUGGCAGGCCAAUUUCUUACUGAAGGAGGAACUCAGCAGGGGAAGACUCACGGCAUCUCCACGGGCAUACAGAAAACCACCUCUGACUCUCUAACAAAGCACACCUGAAAAAAAAUCCUAGGUCUACUUAUCAGCAAUUAUUCCCUCUAAGAAGAGAGCACCAGGAGAGAGAAGCCCAUUUCUAGGACAAAGUAUUCCUUUAAAACUCAGCCAGACUAAUUCAGCCAUUCACUUCUGCCACUGAAAUGAAAUAAAAAGAGUUUUAAUCUGUCUGCAUGAACACUUGU